GGGUGCCCGCGGGGCCGGCGGGGGAGCCCCGUGCAAAAAACUGGAUGACUUGAGUGUGGAUGAGUUUUUAACCUCUGGAUUUGAUUCCGAUGAGGAUUCGGUGGAAGAUGCUCCAAAUUUUGGGGAAGAUGAGGGUAGAAAGCCGCCUUCAAAGGUUGACAGCAAAAAGAAACCAGGGUGCAAUUUGAUACCAGUGAAAAGG